AUUUCAUUAGUUUAAAAAAAAUAUAAUUUUGAAGAAAUUAAGAUUUAUGAAGUG
rnacentral:tRNA from 1 species